AAAUAUAACAAAAGUGUGUGCCUACGCCCCGCCCGGUUAGCCGGUGCGGGCGAGGUGCCAUGUCUUACUAACAAUAAACGACUCUCGGCAACGGAUAUCUCGGCUCUCGCAUCGAUGAAGAACGUAGCGAAAUGCGAUACUUGGUGUGAAUUGCAGAAUCCCGUGAACCAUCGAGUCUUUGAACGCAAGUUGCGCCCGAAGCCUAUGGCUGAGGGCACGUCUGCCUGGGCGUCACGCAUCGCGUCUCCCCUACAAAUCACCUUGAUUUUGGGGGAAGGAGGAUGGCUUCCCGUGCCUCACCGGGCGCGGCUGGCCUAAACUCGGAGCCAACGGCACGGAGCUGCUGCGGCGACUGGUGGUGAACAAGGCCUCGGCCGCGCAAACAACCCGCUGUGGAAGCCCGCGCUAAUUUGGACUCGUCGGACCCUUGGACGGUGCUUCUAGCACCGCAAACCUUUGCG
rnacentral:rRNA from 1 species